GAUGAACGCUAGCGGCAGGCUUAACACAUGCAAGUCGAGGGGCAGCAUGAGACGGAGAUUCGUCGAAGUCUUGAUGGCGACCGGCGCAAGGGUGCGUAACGCGUGAGCAACUUGCCCGUUUCAGGGGGAUAACCGGUGGAAACGCCGACUAAUACCCCAUAGCAUCAGUUUGAGGCAUCUCAUGCUGAUUAAAGAAUUUCGGAAACGGAUAGGCUCGCGUGACAUUAGCUAGAUGGCGGGGUAACGGCCCACCAUGGCGACGAUGUCUAGGGGUUCUGAGAGGAAGGUCCCCCACACUGGAACUGAGACACGGUCCAGACUCCUACGGGAGGCAGCAGUGAGGAAUAUUGGUCAAUGGCCGAGAGGCUGAACCAGCCAUGCCGCGUGAAGGUCACGGCCCUAUGGGUCUUAAACUUCUUUUGUAAGGGAGCAAUAAGGUCUACGUGUAGACUGAUGAGAGUACCUUACGAAUAAGCAUCGGCUAACU
rnacentral:rRNA from 1 species